CCUACGGGCGGCAGCAGUGAGGAAUAUUGGUCAAUGGUCGGGAGACUGAACCAGCCAAGCCGCGUGAGGGAUGAAGGUACAGAGUAUCGUAAACCUCUUUUGUCAGGGAACAAAGGCGGGGACGUGUCCCCGGAUGAGUGUACCUGAAGAAACAGCAUAGGCGAACUCCGUGCCAGCAGCCGCGGUAAUACGUAGGGUGCGAGCGUUAAUCGGAAUUACUGGGCGUAAAGGGUGUGCAGGUGGGUUUGCAAGAUGGAUGUGAAAGCCCCGGGCGUAACCUGGGAAAGCCAUACAUGACUGCAAGACUAGAGUGCGUCAGAGGUGGGUGGAAUUCCAAGUGUAGCAGUGAAAUGCGUAGAUAUUUGGAAGAACACCGAUGGCGAAGGCAGCCCCCUGGGACGCAACUGACGCUCAGACACGAAAGCGUGGGGAGCAAACAGGAUUAGAUACCCCGGUAGUC
rnacentral:rRNA from 1 species